GAUUUCUGAGCAUAGAGCCAGGCUGUGUUCUUUACACAUACUGUAUAGAAAGAGGUAUAGUAAAUGCACCCCAAAUACACCUCAACCCAGGCUGUUUGUCUGGUCUGUAUGGUGAAUGGGGGGACAAAA